GACGAACGCUGGCGGCGUGCCUAAUACAUGCAAGUCGAGCGCAGGAAGCCGUCUGAACCCUUCGGGGGGACGACGGUGGAAUGAGCGGCGGACGGGUGAGUAACACGUAAAGAACCUGCCCAUAGGUCUGGGAUAACCACGAGAAAUCGGGGCUAAUACCGGAUGUGUCAUCGGACCGCAUGGUCCGCUGAUGAAAGGCGCUCCGGCGUCGCCCAUGGAUGGCUUUGCGGUGCAUUAGCUAGUUGGUGGGGUAACGGCCCACCAAGGCGACGAUGCAUAGCCGACCUGAGAGGGUGAUCGGCCACACUGGGACUGAGACACGGCCCAGACUCCUACGGGAGGCAGCAGUAGGGAAUCUUCCACAAUGGACGAAAGUCUGAUGGAGCAACGCCGCGUGAACGAUGAAGGCUUUCGGGUCGUAAAGUUCUGUUGUAAGGGAAGAACAAGUGCCGCAGGCAAUGGCGGCACCUUGACGGUACCUUGCGAGAAGGCCACGGCUAGCUACGUGCCAGCAGCCGCGGUAA
rnacentral:rRNA from 1 species